UGUGGCCACGCCUGUCCGAGGGUCG
rnacentral:rRNA from 2 species